rfam:Fukomys damarensis contig112739, whole genome shotgun sequence.
AUGCCCUUGUGAUUCAUGAGCUUGACGAUUAGGUUUUUGUAACAUCAUGUGAGAUGUUAUUCUUAGAACCUUAUUACAGCAUUGGCACAUUACCUAUCUGACG